rnacentral:rRNA from 1 species
UACGUAGGGUGCAAGCGUUAAUCGGAAUUACUGGGCGUAAAGCGUGCGCAGGCGGUUAUGCAAGACAGAUGUGAAAUCCCCGGGCUUAACCUGGGAACCGCAUUUGUGACUGCAUAGCUGGAGUACGGCUGAGGGGGAUGGAAUUCCGCGUGUAGCAGUGAAAUGCGUAGAUAUGCGGAGGAACACCGAUGGCGAAGGCAGUCCCCUGGGCCUGUACUGACGCUCAUGCACGAAAGCGUGGGGAGCAAACAGG